CCUACUUCAACUGGAUGUAAUGUAGUUCCUCUGGUUAUCUCUUACUCAGGUUCCUUCUCUAGAGCUGUGGCUACCUUGGACUGAACAGUGAUUGGAUUGAUAGAUGUGUGAUGCCAAUUCAUAAGUUCAGUAUAGAAGCUCUCCUAUUGCCACUGGAUUAUUAGGGUGUCUUCUCCAAAGAAUGCAAGAGUAUUACCCAUCGAUCUUCUCAUCUUAUUCAACCACUCUUACAAAUUGACUAGAGUUCUUUCUUUAUAAAUAUCUUGUAUUUUGACAUGGUUCCAUCACUAAUUGUAUCUCAGUCAUUUCACUUGAAUCACUACAGAGGAGAUAUACAACAAACCUAGUGAACAUGCCCAAUCCUGCUUGAUCUAGCCAUAAAUCUGAAUGUAUUCUUUGCUUAUAACUGGAAGUGAAGCUACUCCACAAGUGUCCUGACUGGUUUGUUUCUAGCUCUUCUUUCUUACCCUAUAAGGCUGCACUUGGGGUCUUAUGCCCGUGGUGAUGGUGCAUUCAAGAAAGAAGAUGUGAAAAGAGGCCUGUGAUCAAACCCAGUAUGUCCUUGGCACCCUCUGGGAGGAUCCAGAUCAUAAAGUAGAUGAGGAAAGACUCCAAAACCUUUGAUACAAGUUAAAACAUCUCCUGAAAGAAUGAGCAAAAAGCUCAGAACUCUGAGGAAGCAAGACUUCCUCAAAUCAGCAUCAAUAAGGUCUGGAAAUGAUCCCAGAGUUCCAUCCUACCAAUAUGAGGUUUGUGAUUUUCUGCAUUUUUUAGGAGAAUUCCUGAAGUCACAAAUCGGUACACAUCAGCAUUUUGCAUAAAAGGAAAACAUCCAUAUCUGACUCAAGCAACGAUGAAAUCAAUACAGAAACAUUUCCAGAGAAGUCCUGCAGGUUUUUUUAUGCAUUAACAGCUAGUAUAUCGUGCAAAAAAAUCUUCUGACUGUUUAAUAAAUCAACUUUAGAUCCACAAUCCCUAAACUUCCGUGAUUUUCUUUAUCAUCGCCUAGAGAGCGCCCUGCAGACAUUAAGCUGCAUUUUCCCCCCACUGUUUCUACCCUUAUUAGAUGGUUUAUCUCUCUGCUGGUUUUUUGAUGGGUUUGAAUACAGGGGUUAAAUUCAUAUCUUGGAGUCUUUCUACCACAGCCUCCUCCAAAGCCUGCAGAAUAUCAUAAAAAAAAAGAGCAUCUGACCAACUCUGGAGCCAAAAUGCUGUCCUCAGCUCUCUGGCUUAGCCUAAACCCCUCUGUCAAUAAAAUUAUGCCCAUUCACAUAAUUGCAUUUGAUUUUAUUUACCACUGAAUGUCUGAACGACUGGCGUGAGUCAAAUAAUUAUUUUAGACACUCUGAAAAGCAUACUUGAAAAGCAUUUUAUGAGUAUAUUAAAUAAA